CCUUCCUGAAUUGCUGUGGUGGCCCAGUGUUGGUGUGUGUUUAUGGAGUUCCACACGCCGCCGGUGUGUACUUUUGCGUGUAUGUCCAAGAUGCGUGUGCGUGUUAUUGUGCGUGUGUGUGUUCUGCUGCUGGUGACCACAGAGGGUUUGCCAUCAUCUGGGUUGACUGUGCACGUCUCUGAUGAGGUCAGCGUGUUGCGAGGACAAGAUGCCAUCCUGGGAUGCUCCUUCACUCAUCCCAAGCAGGACCGCUACACCGACAACAUCACGUUGAGCUGGAUCCGCGGAAUCGAAACUAAUUCACCGUUUUUCCAAUGUAACGUCAAGAACGACUCAUUGGCCAAACUCGAAUGCCUUGCCCUCGGCGAAUACUCGUUGGCCGGCAACCUCCGCCAGGGGAAUGCGUCGCUUCGCAUCAGCGCUGUCCAAGUGCAGCAAGACGCUGUGUACUUCUGCAAAAUAGAACUGAAGCAAGGAGGGUCACAGACCAAAGAGGUGAUGCUGAAGGUACAAGUGAGGCCUGCAAUCCUGAGCCUGUCAAUGGUCACCAGCAGUUCCAGUGCCCCCAACAGGCUACAGUGUGUGGCAGAGGGCCUACCGCUGCCCAACAUCACCUGGCUGUCAGCUUACGGGCAGCCGUUAGCGACAGCAUUAGCGGCGCGUGUGAAGACCUCAUUUGCACAUUGGUACCUCAACAGCUCCUUACCAUACGAGGGACAGGAAGAGCUCACAUGCCGGGUGGAGAAUGCGCUGGGGCGAGCCGAGGGGACGUACCCGCCAGCGAAGACGCUGAGGGACGUGGGCCUGGUUCGCGAUGUUGUUGCGGUUGCAGUGCUGAUGUUGGCCACAUGUGGCUUCGUUGUCCACCGACAGAAGAUUAGAGCACGAAAUCGCAACGCUCAGAUUCAACAAAACGAUCAAAGACUAGAGAACCGCCUCCUGCAAUCCUCCCAUGGUCCACCCGGCGGCGCUAUUGCGCUUCAGACUGUUUAUGCCACUGUUGUUGUUCCUGAUGCCAGUGAGUGAAGGCGUGCCGUGUACAAAGUCCAAGCAUGCUCACAUAGAUCAACAACAAGAUAUCUUGUACUCAACUGUGGCAUUUCAGUAGUCUUCUUCAUCAUCUUUGAAGUUGUGUGUUCCUCCCCAAGCUUAAGGUCUGCACUGCCGGCAAAGGGGUGGGGUCAACAUUUAAAAAGCAGUUUGCAGAAGUUUGAGACAUUUUUGUCAUUCCUAAAUGGUGGCUCUCACAUGAAGCAUCAGGAUGUGAUCGAAGUGAAUAAAGAACCUUGUGUCAUGUU